rnacentral:rRNA from 1 species
AGUGAACGCUGGCGGUAGGCCUAACACAUGCAAGUCGAACGGCAGCACAGUAAGAGCUUGCUCUUACGGGUGGCGAGUGGCGGACGGGUGAGGAAUACAUCGUAAUCUACUUUUUCGUGGGGGAUAACGUAGGGAAACUUACGCUAAUACCGCAUACGACCUACGGGUGAAAGCAGGGGAUCUUCGGACCUUGCGCGAUUGAAUGAGCCGAUGUCGGAUUAGCUAGUUGGCGGGGUAAAGGCCCACCAAGGCGACGAUCCGUAGCUGGUCUGAGAGGAUGAUCAGCCACACUGGAACUGAGACACGGUCCAGACUCCUACGGGAGGCAGCAGUGGGGAAUAUUGGACAAUGGGCGCAAGCCUGAUCCAGCCAUACCGCGUGGGUGAAGAAGGCCUUCGGGUUGUAAAGCCCUUUUGUUGGGAAAGAAAGGCAGCAGGUUAAUACCCCGCUGUUCUGACGGUACCCAAAGAAUAAGCACCGGCUAACUUCGUG